rnacentral:lncRNA from 1 species
AAAUCGUUCAAAACUCUUUCAAAGAAACAAUGUUUAAUCUUUCAGAAGUCCAAAAUCUUUCCUUUCUUAUAAGAAAAUCUCAAUCAGAAACCAACCAUGCAAUCAAACAACACAGUCAUUAAUUCAGCACCAAAGUUCAUUCUCAAAUGUAGCACGCCAGGACAAACACAGGCAAGACAGACAAGGAAAGCACAAGUAGGUAGCAGUUACAGCAAAUAGUUCAAGUAGCAGUUAAGAACAGUUUAGCAAUUAGGCAAACCAAAACAAGUUCAAACCCAAGCAAAGCAUACAAAUGCAUAUGAUGCAUGCCUGUCCUAUGGCUGAUGAGGCUCAUUUGUCGGUUAUCCAGCCAACCCGACAAGUCUGAAUUAUCCUUAGACCGUCCCCCGAC